CCUACGGGAGGCAGCAGUGGGGAAUAUUGGUCAAUGGACGAGAGCCUGAACCAGCGAAGUAGCGUGAAGGAUGACUGACCUAUGUAUUUUAAACUUCUUUUAUAAAGGAGUAAAUAAAGGCACGUGUGCCUUUUUGCAUGUACUAUAUGAAUAAGGAUAGGCCAACUCCGUGCCAGCAGCCACGGUAAUACGGAGGAUUCGAGCGUUAUCCGGAUUUAUUGGGUUUAAAGGGAGCGUAGACGGUUUGUUAAGUCCGUUGUGAAAGUUUGCGGCUCAACCGUAAAAUUGCAAUUGAUACUGGAAGUCUUGAGUACAGUUGAGGCAGGCGGAAUUCGUGGUGUAGCGGUGAAAUGCUUAGAUAUCACGAAGAACACCGAUGGCGAAGGCAGCUUACUAAACUGUGACUGACAUUGAUGCUCGAAAGUGUGGGUAGCAAACAGGAUUAGAUACCCUUGUAGUC
rnacentral:rRNA from 1 species